rnacentral:lncRNA from 1 species
AUAAGUUUUUUUUAUUUUAAUCUACAUUCAUCCUAUAAGGGUAAAAAAGGGUAAAAUUAAAUUUUAUUAAAAAAAGGUGAAUAAAGGGAGUAUUACAAAAUUUAUUUUUUCUUUUUCACUAAUAUAUGUUAAAUCAUAUAAUCUUUUAAUAUACCUUGUUGACUUUCUUAUAGGCAUUCAUAUGUAUACAUAUGUAUAUAUAUAUAUAUAUAUAUAUAUAUAUAUAUAUAUAUAUACAUGUAUAUACCUGAACAAUAUAUUUUUUUUCUUUUUCUACUUAAGUUUUAAUAAUAAAAUAAUUAAAAAUUGUAUUUUGUUUUUUUUUUCUUUCAUAUAAUAUAUAUGAAAAAAUAUGUAAAGGAACAUUCAUUUUAGUAAGAUGUAUUUCAAAAAAAAAAGUAAAAAUUACUUCUUCCUUUAUAAUAGAAAAAAAAUACAUUUACAAGAGUUAAAAAAACUAUUCACUUCUUUAAAUGUAUAUGAAAACGUGUGCUGAAACAGUAUAUACAUACACAAACACAUGCAUAUAUAAAUAUAUAUUAAAGUUUGUAUGUUCAUCCGUCUGUCCUUUUUUUUUUUUUUUUUUUUUUUUUUUUUUUUUUUGGAACGUUUUUUAAAAAAAAAAAAACAGUAAAAAAAAUUACUCACGAAUUGUAAUUGUUUUUAAUUUGUGUAGCAUUCUGAAAAAUAAUUCAUUAUUGGAAUGUGUGCUUUAUAUAUUAAUAAAAUAUACCUAUAUACAUAUAUAUUAAAUAUAAAUAAACAAUUGUGUGUGUAUAUGUAUUUAAUGAGUAUUAUUUUAUUUAAAUAAGUAUAUUUAUAAAUCUAUUUAUAUCUUGUUAUUCACAUAACUUAAAUAAAUAAAUAAAUAUAUUUAUAUUCAUUUUAUAUAUUUUAUUCAUGAAAUAUUAAAAAAAAAAAAAAAAAAAAUGGAUAUGGAGAUUAAAGAGUUUGACAAAUUAUCUGGGCUUCGGAUAAACUGUACGAAGGAUUUGAUUUUUAAAGGAGGUCUAAGUUCUAUAAUUGGGAUGAUAUUAGGAAUAAUAUGUUCUUUAAUAGUUAAUUGUACGUUAGUAGAAGUUUCGUUAUCAACAUUUUUUUCUAUGUAUUUUGGUAUAUUGUUUAUUGUAGUUGGAAUUAUAAUAUUUUGGAGAUUAAGUGCUAAUAUAGGUGAUGAGUCUGAAAAUAGGAGAACCCAAUUAAUGGUCUUAGCAGCAAUGAUAAUAUUAUCAGGGUUCUUAUGUCUAUUUUUUGAGCGUACGUGGCUUUUUUCUCUUUCCACUAUCGCGAAAGUACCUAUCUAUUGUCUUUUGGGAAUUAGCAUUGCUUUUGCCGUGACAUUUAGUUUAAUAGAUUUUAUAAAUUAUUUAUUUGGUUUUAUCCAAGGAUCAAUUACUAGACCAUUGAUUGAAUCCACAGCACAGGUAUACUUAAUAUUAUUAUUUACUAUAACAAUGGGAGGAAUCUUUGGCUUUAUAUUUGGCCUGAUAAAUGUUGAAGAUGAAUCAUCUCAUCACGUUCGCUUGGCAUUAAUGAAAGCGGAAAAUUCCUGUUUCCCUUUGGGAGCUAUUUUAGGAGGAAUAGCUGGUUUUGGAAACGAAGUUUAUAGACAACAAAACGAAGCUUAUAAAUUGGAGAAUGUUACUGAAUUUGAUGACGAAGUUUAAAAGAAUAUAUAUUUUUUUUUUUUCUUUUUUUUUUUUUUUUUUUCGUAAUUUUAAAAUAAUAUAAAAACGUUAAUAUAUUAAAAAAGUAGGAUAUUGUGUGAAAAAAAUAUGGAACAAGAAACUAAAAAUAGAUAAAUAGAUAAAUAAUCGAAUAAAUAAACGAAUAAAUAAACGA